rnacentral:rRNA from 1 species
AGUGGACGCUGGCGGUAGGCCUAACACAUGCAAGUCGAACGGCAGCACAGUAAGAGCUUGCUCUUACGGGUGGCGAGUGGCGGACGGGUGAGGAAUACAUCGGAAUCUACUUUUUCGUGGGGGAUAACGUAGGGAAACUUAAGCUAAUACCGCAUACGACCUACGGGUGAAAGCAGGGGAUCUUCGGACCUUGCGCGAUUGAAUGAGCCGAUGUCGGAUUAGCUAGUUGGCGGGGUAAAGGCCCACCAAGGCGACGAUCCGUAGCUGGUCUGAGAGGAUGAUCAGCCACACUGGAACUGAGACACGGUCCAGACUCCUACGGGAGGCAGCAGUGGGGAAUAUUGGACAUUGGGCGCAAGCCUGAUCCAGCCAUACCGCGUGGGUGAAGAAGGCCUUCGGGUUGUAAAGCCCUUUUGUUUGGAAAGAAAAGCAGCAGGUUAAUACCCCGCUGUUCUGACGGUACCCAAAGAAUAAGCACCGGCUAACUUCGUG